rnacentral:pre_miRNA from 1 species
AACAUACUCCCUCCGUCCCAAAAUUUGUUUAAAUAGGAUGUGUCAAGUCAUGUUUUAGUAUUAGUUACACCCGUAUCUAAAUAAAUUUAAGACAAGAAUUUUGGGACGAAGGGAAUAGUAG